rnacentral:rRNA from 1 species
AUGAGGACAGAGGGCGGCGGCGGCGACGCGGUGGAGGGAUGCGGCGACGAUGGAGUUUGCGAGCUAGGGUUGGGAGAGGGCAGUGGGUGGGCUCGGCAGGAGCGGGUGUGGCUCGAUCCGACCAGCCUUCCGGUCCAAUCCCGUCGCAACUCGCCCUCUGAUCUCCCCCUUCUCUCGUCGACGCGGCGAGUCUGCUUUGCGCCCAUCCGAGGCGGAGGCCAACAGAUCAAGGUAUGCUCCCCCUCCCUAGCCUCUUCUAGCAGAUGUACGCUCGCAUCUCUUCUUCCAUUCUCCUUCCCUGUGCAACUCGCCGAUAUGAUGGCGCUCAGGUCGCGUCGACUCCGCGAUAGGUGUCGAUUCGGCAAAAAAAAAGAAAUGCAUAUAGCUGAGUCUGCUGCUGCCGUGGCUGAUGCUCUGGCCACUCUGACAAUAAUGGAUACACUACAGCAUACUUUGAAGAGUUGUCCUGUGCCAAAUCAAGAAAGAAGGCACCUUUUGCCUGGAAUCAUGGCACCAUCAGCAUCCACUGGUCAGAAAGUCAACCUGAAGGGGUACAAGACCCUACCCCAUGCUAUUCAGCUGGUAACGAUGAUGUCGGGGACGUCUUCAGCUUCAACAUUGACGAUUGGGGACCAGAACAAGAAGUUCAAGGUGAGCCGUGCUUUGACGUGGAUGGUGGUUAUCUGCAUACCGGCUACUUUCAUUGCCAUCACAGCAGGUUCGGCCUACAGGAUGUAUAACAAACCCAUCUGGGCCGCCGGCUUCCCAUCGAGGCUGCCAGUUGUCUUGAUGUUGGGAGCCUACCUGGCAGUGGUGAACCUGGCGCUGGGGUACUUGACCCUCUACUUGCCACAGGCACCCUUCGCUGUGUGGAAAGCUCUGGAUGAUGUUGGUCUCAGGUUGAUUGGCCUUGCUGUUAUCUUAAUCUCUGGCCCUGUUUUGUUGUCUGCCCAGGCGUGGCUGCACAUCAUCUGGGCUUGCCUUCUUGCCGUCCUCAUUGCUGCCAUCCUUGCCUUCUGUGUCUGUCUUGCUCGGACGUACCGCAAGUAG